UACAGCGAUAUCACGUUGAAACACCGUUUCUUGUACGAUCAUCAAAGUUAAGCAACGUCGAGCCUGGUCAGUAUCUAGAUGGGUGAUUGCUUGGGAAUACCAGGUGUUGCAAA